rnacentral:rRNA from 1 species
UGGAGUAUUGAGAAGCGAUUAUGCCGGCACGAGUAGCGAUAAAGUGGGUGAGAACCCCACUCGCCGAAAGCCCAAGGUUUCCUGGGGAAGGUCAGUCCUCCCAGGGUUAGGCGGUCCCUAAGGCGAGGCCGAAAGGCGUAGUUAAUGGGAAGCAGGUUAAUAUUCCUGCCCCGUUCCACUGGAGCGAAGGGGGGACGCAGAAGGAGAAGGCAGCGCGGCGUUGGUUGUCCGCGUCUAAAGGUGUAGGAGGUAGGCGAGGCAAAUCCUUGCCUGCAAAAUACUCCAAGACCCGAUGGGGAGCCAAACCGCAAGGGGCGGCGAACUGCCUGGUCUCCAGACUGCCGAGAAAAGCCUCUAAGUGUUGAAGGUGGAGCGACCGUACCGUAAUCCGACACAGGUGGGCGAGGUGAGUAUCCAAAGGCGCACGGAUUAACCUCCCUCAAGGAACUCGGCAAUUUGGCCCCGUAACUUCGGAAGAUGGGGCGCUCCUAUUAGGUGUAAUAAUUCGCUUAUGAAGCCGAAUGGAGCCGCAGAUAAUCGGCCUGGGCGACUGUUUAUCAAAAACACAGGUCUCUGCCAACCCAAUAGGGGAAGUAUAGGGACUGACGCCUGCCCAGUGCCGGAAGGUUAAGGGAAUCUGUUAUCCCGAUUCGUCGGGAAAAGCAGUGCACCGAAGCCCCGGUAAACGGCGGCCGUAACUAUAAAUCCCAUUAGGACGGGAAUUGUAGUUGUAAAAUCUGGCUAUAUGCUGGAAAACCUGAGUAUGGCUUACUACUCGUCACAAAGUCGAUACAGACCGCAUAGGUGACAGUGACAAUGUAAGUCUGCAGGCAAUCAGCAGGAAAGACUUAUCACCCAGGAGGAAUUAUGUAUAACAAAUCGAUUAAACCCUCUUUGGGAUACUAUCUCGCAGGUUUCGCAGAUGGCGAGGGAAGUUUCAAUGUCAACUUCAGAAAAAGAAAUGAUUAUAAACUUCCAUGGAAAGUUUCCUUAUGCUUCAAUAUUUCACAGAGGGAAAAAGUGAUACUUACAAUGUUUAAAAAGCAUCUCCGCUGUGGAACAAUGCGCCAAAGAAAGGAUGGCGUGUGGUAUUAUGAAGUGAAUAACCUCGACAGUAUUAUCGAAAAUGUUAUCCCUUUCUUUGAACGAUUUCGGUUUUUAUCCCAGAAGAAAAAACGAGAUUUUGCGAAAUUCAAGAAAAUUGCGAGACUGAUGAAAUGGGAAAAUGCCCAUCUUACACCAGAAGGAAUCAAGCAAAUACUCCGAAUUCGAGAAGAUAUGAAUGAUGGUAGAAAAAGGAAAUAUUCCCAGCAAGAAAUCCUGCGAGAACUUUGAUAAGAAUCCCCAGAGACUAUACGCCAGACCCCGAUUCGUCGGGGAUGAUAUAGUCCGUCCUCCAUAGCGAUAUGGAGUCCCGAUUGUUCGGGAUGCCACUUAAAUUCACAGUGGUAUAACAAAGAGAACGGUCCUAAGGUAGCGAAAUUCCUUGUCGGGUAAGUUCCGACCCGCACGAAAGGCGUAACGACUUGGGCAGUGUCUCGAGGGAGGAUCCGGCGAAACUGAAGUCGCGGUGAAGAUACCGCGUACCCGCGCCGGGACGGAAAGACCCCGGAACCUUUACUACAACCUGGUGUUGGGUUCUGGCAUAUUGUGCGUAGGAUAGGUGGGAGGCUUUGAAGUCUCGACUCCGGUCGGGAUGGAGCCAUCCUUGAAAUACCACCCUCAAUAUGUCGGGACUCUAACCCGCAUCCUAUAAGUACGGGAUGGGGAACAGCGCCUGGUGGGUAGUUUGGCUGGGGCGGUUGCCUCCUAAAAGGUAACGGAGGCGUCCAAAGGUUCCCUCAGCCCGAUUGGAAACCGGGCAGCGAGUAUAAAGGCAUAAGGGAGCUUGACUGUGAGACCUACAGGUCGAGCAGGUGCGAAAGCAGGGCUUAAUGAUCUGGCGUCUCUGAGUGGAAGGGGCGUCACUUAUCGGAUAAAAGGUACUCCGGGGAUAACAGGCUGAUCGCUUCCGAGAGUUCACAUCGACGAAGCGGUUUGGCACCUCGAUGUCGGCUCGUCGCAUCCUGGGGCUGAAUCAGGUCCCAAGGGUUGGGCUGUUCGCCCAUUAAAGCGGCACGUGAGCUGGGUUCAGAACGUCGUGAGACAGUUCGGUCCCUAUCUGGCGUGGGCGUAGGAAAUUUGAGGGGAGCUGUCCUUAGUACGAGAGGACCGGGACGGAUGAGCCUCUGGUGCACCAGCUGUCGUGCCAACGGCAUCGCUGGGUAGCUAUGCUCAGUCGUGAUAAGCGCUGAAAGCAUCUAAGCGCGAAGCACACCCCAAGAUGAGAUUUCCCGUGUGCCGAUUCGUCGGCACCCUUAAGGACCCAGGGAGACUACCUGGUUGAUAGGCGGCAGGUGUAAGUAUCGCGAGAUAUUGAGCCGAGCCGUACUAAUAGUCCGUGUGUCUUAACCAAU